rnacentral:lncRNA from 1 species
GCAGGAUUCUUGUAGUCCGACAAUGCUGCAAUCCGCCAUCUUAAUAAAACCACACCCUUUUUUUACAUGGGCUCUUAUGGAAGUAUUUUUUCCAAGUGCUUUUUCUCUUAGCUGGAUUACAACUUCGACCAAAGAAAAAUAUACAAAAAUACUACAUCAUUCAGGGCAUAUGGGCAUUGUUUACAUAUGUAGGACCCAAACAUAUUGUCAUGUGUGACGAGGUAUUGGUGGAAAAUGCUGUAAUCCAUCUAUUCGACCUCUAAAGAAGAACUGGUGGUGUUUUUU